ACUUAUUUAUCUGACUAUGUUUGAACACAAUUCAGGAAGAAGAAGACUGUGAGCUCCACCUCUGAAGCGAAUGAACCCAUAGAGACUGUGGAGUUGGAAUCUGGUCCUGAUUAUACUAACCUCUCAGACCUGAACAUGGUCUCUGCAGAACAGGAUGAAGAACCAGAGGAGCAGGAGGACCUGGUCUGAAGAGGGAGACUGACCUGGAUGGAAACAGAAGGAAGUGAAACAUUGAAGAGGAAACAUUUACCUGUUU